GUCCCCAUCCGAUCGGAUUGACUCCGAAGAGGAAUUUUCUUCUUCGCCCUUCGUUUUGGUUACAGAGUCGGGUAACUCCAAGUCUAAGCUUUUGGGUUAUGUCUCACACGCGGACUGGACCUCGCUAGGGAAUAAGGAAGUACAAAUAUAUGACUAUAUGGUUAAUUCAGGGGCUUCAGUUCCCUGGAACUAUGAUUUAGGGCAAUUGGACGCGUUUUUGGAGGAAAAAAAGAAGGAGUUCGUGCCGCUGUUGAAGGACGAGGAAGUUGUGGAUAUUGUGACCAAGUCAGAAGUAGAGAGAAUCAAGAGUUAUCCAAAACUGGGCGUAGGCUCGGUAGCGGCGGAUGGUUCCUGGCUUGUAGGGGCUUCGAUUGGAACAAGAGAACAUGACAAGGAGAGGCUCAAGCUUUUGGUGCAGGCAGGUGUAAAUGUAGUGGUGUUGGAUAGUUCACAGGGUAACUCCAUUUAUCAGGUUGAUAUGAUAAAGUAUGUGAAGCGGACAUAUCCAGAGUUGGACGUGAUUGGGGGGAAUGUGGUGACGAUGGCACAGGCCCAGAAUUUGAUUCAAGCUGGAGUCGAUGGCUUGCGGAUUGGGAUGGGUUCUGGAUCUAUCUGUACUACGCAGGAGGUUUGUGCGGUUGGACGAGGACAGGCGACGGCAGUUUACAAGGUCGCAUUAGUUGCUUCACAAAGUGGCGUGCCUAUCAUCGCUGAUGGUGGAAUUUCAAACUCUGGGCAUAUUGUU
rnacentral:misc_RNA from 1 species